rnacentral:rRNA from 1 species
UACGUAGGGGGCAAGCGUUGUCCGGAAUCAUUGGGCGUAAAGCGCGUGUAGGCGGCCUGGUAAGUCCGCUGUGAAAGUCGGGGGCUCAACCCUCGGAUGCCGGUGGAUACUGUCGGGCUCGAGUACGGAAGAGGCGAGUGGAAUUCCUGGUGUAGCGGUGAAAUGCGCAGAUAUCAGGAGGAACAUCAAUUGCGAAGGCAGCUCGCUGGGACGUUACUGACGCUGAGACGCGAAAGCGUGGGGAGCAAACAGG